rnacentral:rRNA from 1 species
AGAUUAAGUUAUUAAGGGCGCACGGUGAAUGCCUUGGCACUAGAAGCCGAUGAAGGACGUUACUAACGACGAUAUGCUUUGGGGAGCUGUAAGUAAGCUAUGAUCCAGAGAUUUCCGAAUGGGGGAACCCAACACGAGUUAUGUCGUGUUAUCGACAUGUGAAUUCAUAACAUGUCAGAAGGUAGACCCGGAGAACUGAAACAUCUUAGUACCCGGAGGAAGAGAAAGAAAAUUCGAUUCCCUGAGUAGCGGCGAGCGAAACGGGAAGAGCCCAAACCAAUGAGCUUGCUCAUUGGGGUUGUAGGACACUCU